GAUGAACGCUGGCGGCAUGCCUAAUACAUGCAAGUCGAGCGAACGGACGAGAAGCUUGCUUUUCUGAUGUUAUCGGCGGACGGGUGAGUAACACGUGGAUAACCUACCUAUCAGACUGGGAUAACUUCGGGAAACCGGAGCUACUACCGGAUAAUAUUUUGAACCGCAUGGUUCAAAAGUGAAAGACGGUCUUUCUGUCACUUAUAGAUGGAUCCGCGCUGCAUUAGCUAGUUGGUAAGGUAACGGCUUACCAAGGCAACGAGGCAUAGACGACCUGAGAGGGAGGUCGGCCGCACGGGAAGUGAGGCACGGCCCAGACUCUGACGGGAGGAAGCAGUAGGGAAUCUUACGCAAUGGGCGAAAGCCUGAUGGAGCAACGCCGCGUGAGUGAUGAAGGUCUUAGGAUCGUAAAACGCUGUUAGUAGGGAAGAACAUAUGUGUAAGUAACUGGGAAGAUAUUGACGGUACCGAAUCAGAAAGCCACGGCUAACUACGUG
rnacentral:rRNA from 1 species